CCACUAUCACUCAACUCACCUCAUUUCUAUGCUCUCUUGAUGGCAGUGGCUUCAUCAGAGGAUUUCACUCUGCUUCCUGACGACAGAGGCUUCAUGCAAGGAAUGGCAGCGGUUCUAUUUUACCUGUAAAACCCACCCAUAAUUUCCCAUCCAGCACUUGGACGCAUUUCGUGUAGGGUUUUCCAGCUCCAAAUCUGGUUUUCGAGGGCCUUGAAAGUUAAAUCAACUAAAUACUUUUCUUUUUGCAUAGAUUUCACCUGAUAGCUCUGCAGAACUUGAGGUUGAGCUUUAAUAUAUUUUCCGGUCCGAUACCUUCAGAUAUUGGCCGACUUCCUCACUUGGAUUGGAUACUCCUGACCCGGAAUAGUCUCCGCGGCAACGUCUCCAAAUCGCUGAAGGGAAUGACACCAUUCGUAGAGAGAAAGCAAAUAUAAGGAAAGCAAAUUGGACAAAUCAGGCACUACGCAAAGAAAGGUUAUUCUACCUUGGCAAUUCUAUUAAGCUAUUUUAUUGGUGUAUACGAAAUGGCAGACUAGGUAUUCUUAGGUCAUAGUAGGCACUUGACACUAUUAGAAUUGAACUACCCUGCUAAGUUUAUGUAUCUCGUGAAAAGAGGCCUGGUUUCCAACACCACAAGAAAGCUGGUUUGUUGGUUAGUUGGUGACUGUAGUGAAGUUGAUAUCCUUGCUGCUUUCCAUGAUGCCAUUAGUGAUGGAGUAGAUGUGCUAUCUAUUUCCUAGGGCCAAGAACACCUUUGCCUGACUAUUUUGGUUCAAGUUUAGAUAUAGGAUCCUUUGAUGCAAUGGAAAAGGGUAUUCCUGUGGUGAUUUCAGUAGGAAAUGAGGGCCCUAACCUUGAUUUUGUUUCAAAUACAGCUCCUUGGAGUAUGUCUAUAGCAGCAAGCACCAUGGACCGUAGAUUUCCUACAAACUGAAUGCUUCAAAAUAACAUGAGUAUCAAGAUUUCUACUAAGCUAUUUUCUUGGUGUCUAUACGAAAUGGCAGACCAGGUUACUCUACCUCAACAAUUCUGUAGGCUAUUUUCUUGGUGUCUGUACGAAAUGGAAGACCAGGUGGUCAUGACAGACUUUUUCAUGGCCAACCAACUAACCAGCCAGGUGACACUUCUAAGGCAUUUAGAAUUCAUUGCAUGCUAUUACAUAGGAGGAAGUUUUCGGUCAGAUGAUUAUAGUACUUGCAGUCAUCGCAAGGCGUACAGAGUAAUGGCUUAUGUUGUUUCAUUUCUGCCAUAUUAUUGGCGAGCAUUAUAGUGUGUGAGGAGAUGGAUGGAAGAAGGAGAUGCAAAUCAUCAUGCAAAUAUAAGAAAGUAUGUGUCUGCCAUAUUUGUAGCUGGUGCAAGGCUAUAAUAUGCUAUAGCUACUAUGAUUCUUUCAAUCAACAGAGGGAACAACAAGAUCAACAUGUAAAUUUGGCUCUUAUAAAGUUGGAAAUUGUUGAAAAGGAGAAGCAUGUAUUACCAAGUGAUUUCAGAUGCCAAAAUAAAUGGAUCAGUGUUGGCACAACGUAUAGAAGACUUGUAUCAUAAACCUAAUUUUUGUAGCAUAUAGAAGACUUGGCAAUUAUAAACUUAAUUUUGUAUCAUCAUACUUGUUUAAUGAAUACUUGUAACUUGUAUCAUAAACCUAAUUUUGGUAGCAUAUAAAAGACUUGGCAAUUAUAAACUUAA